rnacentral:misc_RNA from 1 species
UUUUUCUUUUAUACUUUAAACAUUGAUUUUAUUUUUUAUGUUUUUAGAUGUUUAUAUUAUUUGAAUGUUUUAUUCAAAUAAUAUAAAAAAUAAAAUAUAUAUAUUGACAUGGAUUAAACAAAGAUAUAUAUUAUUCUAUGUUGUAUAAACAAAUUGGCAAAAUAGAGAUGGAAGAUAAAAAUA